rnacentral:rRNA from 1 species
UACGGGGGGAGCAAGCGUUGUUCGGAAUCACUGGGCGUAAAGGGCGCGUAGGCGGCUUUAUAAGUCGGGGGUGAAAGCCUGUGGCUCAACCACAGAAUUGCCUUCGAUACUGUAGAGCUUGAGACCGGAAGAGGUUAGUGGAACUGCGAGUGUAGAGGUGAAAUUCGUAGAUAUUCGCAAGAACACCAGUGGCGAAGGCGGCUAACUGGUCCAGAUCUGACGCUGAGGUGCGAAAGCGUGGGGAGCAAACAGG